UUGUGCCCUUGAGGCGUGGCUUCCGGAGCUAACGCGUUAAGUCGACCGCCUGGGGAGUACGGCCGCAAGGUUAAAACUCAAAUGAAUUGACGGGGGCCCGCACAAGCGGUGGAGCAUGUGGUUUAAUUCGAUGCAACGCGAAGAACCUUACCUGGUCUUGACAUCCACAGAACUUUCCAGAGAUGGAUUGGUGCCUUCGGGAACUGUGAGACAGGUGCUGCAUGGCUGUCGUCAGCUCGUGUUGUGAAAUGUUGGGUUAAGUCCCGCAACGAGCGCAACCCUUAUCCUUUGUUGCCAGCGGUCCGGCCGGGAACUCAAAGGAGACUGCCAGUGAUAAACUGGAGGAAGGUGGGGAUGACGUCAAGUCAUCAUGGCCCUUACGACCAGGGCUACACACGUGCUACAAUGGCGCAUACAAAGAGAAGCGACCUCGCGAGAGCAAGCGGACCUCAUAAAGUGCGUCGUAGUCCGGAUUGGAGUCUGCAACUCGACUCCAUGAAGUCGGAAUCGCUAGUAAUCGUGGAUCAGAAUGCCACGGUGAAUACGUUCCCGGGCCUUGUACACACCGCCCGUCACACCAUGGGAGUGGGUUGCAAAAGAAGUAGGUAGCUUAACCUUCGGGAGGGCGCUUACCACUUUGUGAUUCAUGACUGGGGUGAAGUCGUAACAAGGUAACCGUAGGGGAACCUGCGGUUG
rnacentral:rRNA from 1 species